rnacentral:rRNA from 1 species
UCGCGGCCUAUCAGCUUGUUGGUGAGGUAAUGGCUCACCAAGGCGACGACGGGUAGCCGGCCUGAGAGGGUGACCGGCCACACUGGGACUGAGACACGGCCCAGACUCCUACGGGAGGCAGCAGUGGGGAAUAUUGCACAAUGGGCGAAAGCCUGAUGCAGCGACGCCGCGUGAGGGAUGACGGCCUUCGGGUUGUAAACCUCUUUCAGUAGGGAAGAAGCGAAAGUGACGGUACCUGCAGAAGAAGCGCCGGCUAACUACGUGCCAGCAGCCGCGGUAAUACGUAGGGCGCAAGCGUUAUCCGGAAUUAUUGGGCGUAAAGAGCUCGUAGGCGGUUUGUCGCGUCUAUCGUGAAAGUCCGAGGCUCAACCUCGGAUCUGCGGUGGGUACGGGCAGACUAGAGUGAUGUAGGGGAGACUGGAAUUCCUGGUGUAGCGGUGAAAUGCGCAGAUAUCAGGAGGAACACCGAUGGCGAAGGCAGGUCUCUGGGCAUUAACUGACGCUGAGGAGCGAAAGCAUGGGGAGCGAACAGGAUUAGAUACCCUGGUAGUCCAUGCCGUAAACGUUGGGCACUAGGUGUGGGGGACAUUCCACGUUUUCCGCGCCGUAGCUAACGCAUUAAGUGCCCCGCCUGGGGAGUACGGCCGCAAGGCUAAAACUCAAAGGAAUUGACGGGGGCCCGCACAAGCGGCGGAGCAUGCGGAUUAAUUCGAUGCAACGCGAAGAACCUUACCAAGGCUUGACAUGUGCCAGACCGCCGUGGAAACACGGUUUCCCCUUUGGGGCUGGUUCACAGGUGGUGCAUGGUUGUCGUCAGCUCGUGUCGUGAGAUGUUGGGUUAAGUCCCGCAACGAGCGCAACCCUCGUUCUAUGUUGCCAGCACGUGAUGGUGGGGACUCAUAGGAGACUGCCGGGGUCAACUCGGAGGAAGGUGGGGACGACGUCAAAUCAUCAUGCCCCUUAUGUCUUGGGCUUCACGCAUGCUACAAUGGCCGGUACAAUGGGUUGCGAUACUGUGAGGUGGAGCUAAUCCCA